rnacentral:rRNA from 1 species
GUGACGCUGGCGGCGCGCCUAACACAUGCAAGUCGAACGGCACCCGCCCUCGGGCGGAAGCGAGUGGCGAACGGCUGAGUAACACGUGGAGAACCUGCCCCCACCCCGGGGAUAGCCGCGGGAAACCGCGGGUAAUACCCGAUGACCCCGCCGGGCCGCAUGGCCGGGCGGGCAAAGCCCAGACGGGAGGGGAUGGCUCCGCGGCCCAUCAGGUAGACGGCGGGGUGACGGCCCACCGUGCCCGCGACGGGUAGCCGGGUUGAGAGACCGACCGGCCAGAUUGGGACUGAGACACGGCCCAGACUCCUACGGGAGGCAGCAGUGGGGAAUCUUGCGCAAUGGGGGGAACCCUGACGCAGCGACGCCGCGUGCGGGAUGGAGGCCCUAGGGUCGUAAACCGCUUUCAGCAGGGAUGAGACAAGACGGUACCUGCAGAAGAAGCCCCGGCUAACUACGUGCCAGCAG